rnacentral:rRNA from 1 species
UGGGGAAUAUUGGUCAAUGGACGAGAGUCUGAACCAGCCAUGCCGCGUGAAGGAUGAAGGCGUUCUGCGUUGUAAACUUCUUUUGCGGGGGAAGAAACCUUGAUAUUCUUAUCAAGCCGACGGUACCGUAAGAAUAAGCACCGGCUAACUACGUGCCAGCAGCCGCGGUAAUACGUAGGGUGCAAGCGUUAAUCGGAAUUACUGGGCGUAAAGCGCACGCAGGCGGUCUGUCAAGUCGGAUGUGAAAUCCCCGGGCUCAACCUGGGAACUGCAUUCGAAACUGGCAGGCUAGAGUCUUGCAGAGGGAGGUGGAAUUCCGCGUGUAGCAGUGAAAUGCGUAGAGAUGCGGAGGAACACCGAUGGCGAAGGCAGCCUCCUGGGCCAGUACUGACGCUCAUGCACGAAAGCGUGGGGAGCAAACA